rnacentral:rRNA from 1 species
GACGAACGCUGGCGGCGCGCCUAACACAUGCAAGUCGAACGGAGCGUACUGUGUGAAGCCCUUCGGGGUGGAACUUUGUAUUGCUUAGUGGCGAACGGGUGAGUAACACGUGAGCAACCUGCCCUAGAGUGGGGGACAACAUUUGGAAACGAAUGCUAAUACCGCAUAAGACCACGGUGUCACAUGACACAGCGGCCAAAGGAUUUAUUCGCUUUAGGAUGGGCUCGCGUCUGAUUAGCUAGAUGGUGGGGUAACGGCUCACCAUGGCGACGAUCAGUAGCCGGACUGAGAGGUCGAUCGGCCACAUUGGGACUGAGACACGGCCCAGACUCCUACGGGAGGCAGCAGUGAGGAAUAUUGGGCAAUGGGGGAAACCCUGACCCAGCAACGCCGCGUGAGGGAAGACGGUUUUCGGAUUGUAAACCUCUGUCCUCUGUGAAGAUAAUGACGGUAGCAGAGGAGGAAGCUCCGGCUAACUACGUGCCAGCCGCCGCAGUAACAC